AGCGCCUGGACGAGUGGGUGACGCCCGACAGGCUGGACCUGAAGAAGCUCCAGUUCCCCAAAAAGGAGGCCAAGACGCCCACCAAGAACGGCCUGCCGGGCUCGCGGCCCAGCUCCCCGGAGAGAGACGUGAGGAAGAGUCUAGAUCACAGCCUCCAAACGGUCACAGCUCCAUCCAGAGGCAAAACUGUCCCCAUUCCGAAGAGGAAGGUGGAGUCGGUCCCCCUGGCGACGCAGGUGUCGCCGGCCACGCCCGUGCCCUCCCUGCCCAGCUCGGCGGAAACCACCCA